UGUGGCUUGAAUAAUUACACUUGAUUAAUAUUGGCAAUCACACAAUACAAUUAACACUCACUUAAGAUCCACACAUACAACACGUGGCUUGACCUUAUAGUAUGACGAUACAAAUCAAUUUUUCUUUGGCUAAAAAAACUAAAAUUAUUUUUUUAAGUGGAAAUUUAAGAAAUAAAGACUCAACUUGAGUUUAUAAGGUGAAUUAUAUGACUAUAGCUACUAAAACUAAUUCGAGACAUUCCUGAAAGACUUCUAAAUGAAAGAUUGAGGCGUAGCAUCACAUCUAGGACUUGGAACAAGGAGGCAUAUAGGAAGGGGGUGGGCGGAUGCUUGUUGCUUCGGUGCCCCCAUUCUUCACUAUAAGCACAGUGUCCAUGCCCCAACUUGCAUGACGCUCCAAAUGACAAUGCAUAAACCAUACCCCAGGAUUAUCAGCGUAAAAUCUGAUGGCAGCCCAUCCAUUCUUGGGAAGACCAAUGGUGUUAACUUCUGGUGGAUCAAUCAAAUUAUAUUUCAAGGGAUCAGUGGCGUUGUCAAAAUUUCCUUUAUUCUUCCCAACCAAAUAGAAGCUGAAACCGUGGAGAUGCAUUGGAUGAUUUUCAGAAGCCGACAGAUUAGUCCCUUGGAAAACAAUUUCCACCGUUUCAUUAAAAUCUAGCAUUAUCACCUUGGUCCCUAGGCUUGUGUACAAUGUAAUGUUGUCCACAUUUCCAGUGAAGUCAAAGUACGUUGGAGGCUUUUCAGGGAAAUCUGUCGUAUAAACAUCCUUACUCAAGUUCCAGUAGUAUGCCUGGAGAAUUGACAUAGAAGGGGCAUCGAAGCUGACGUUGUUCAGGCUAGCAGAUAGCCUGUCUCCAUUAGAUGUCCCUAAACAUGAAUUGUUAGGGCAUGGCAAAAUGUUUGUGGACACUGUCAUGUAGAUUUGCCUAGUGAUGUUUUGGGGAACAUUAACAGGAUGCUUUGCGCUGUUCAGGGCCCUUAUUUUAUUUGUGAAAGUUGCUGCGGCGUCAGAGUCAUUGUAGACAGGAAGAACUGGAAACGGAAUGGGUGAUGGGGGAGUAUAAUUGCCCUUAUACUCAAAAAUUGCUGUGGUGGUGGUGUUGUCAAAUGGAACAACAGUAUCAGCAAAAGGAGAGCCAGCAAUGUAGUAGUAGCUAGGAGCCUUGUUUGCCGUGACUAAAACGUCCAUGGUUUGCCCUGGGGUUAUGACGAUGUAAUCUACAGUUACAGGCUUCACGUAUGCACCAUCUGUGCCCACAACUGUGAGGUUGUGGUCUGCAAUUCCAAAGAAUGUUUCUUCAUUUAAUAUGGCGUUGAUAAUGCGAAGGAGGUAGGUCUUGCCAUAUUUAACAGCCAAAUGAUAUGUAGUUUCAUUGGAGCAAUCAUAAAGAUCCCCAGGUUCUCCAUUGAUUGUAUAGGCAUCUGAGAUGUUGGGGUCUGCACCAGUUGUAAGGGCAUCAGUGAUCACCUCCAUCACAUCUGCCUUGUACCAUGAAGCAAGCACAAUUGUUUUUUCCGCAUAAGGUUUAGGAUAUGGAUAAGUUGUUCCCCUUUUAGGGUAAAUAAUGAUCGCUCCAUGAACUGUAGCUCGUGACCAGUCACUGUGAGCAUGCCACCAGAGAGUUCCUUCUUCUGAGCUAAAAUUAAUCUCUUGGGUGAAAUUUGUUCCUGCUGAGAUGGGACACUGUGUGACGUUUUCAGGACCAUCUGACCAUGGAUUCCUUGGCUGCUUCACUCCAUGCCAGUGAAUAGUGACACCAUAAUUUCCUUGGUUGUGAACGUUAACAAACACAGUAUCCCCUUUGUGAACACGAAUCUCAGGCCCUGGAAAACUAUCAUUUACGGUCAAAAUGCUCUUUGUGCUACACAGCUUUGUAAAAUUAGUUUCCUUGAGGACGAAGUCAUAGUAAUGGGUGGCACCCUCUGCACAGCCAAAAUGCAGACUAGCCAAACAAAUAUACCCUAGGAACACAAACCAUGGGAUUGCUUUCAUUUUCUCUGAGUUUUUUCAAUAAAUAAUGAAGCUCUAUCCUCUUGCUCGAUAGCUA
rnacentral:misc_RNA from 1 species